rnacentral:lncRNA from 1 species
CACAUCUGUAACUAAUUUCAGGAACUAAAUGCAGGUGGCAUGGUAUGGAAGACUGCUUGAAGACUCUGGAGACCCACACUCUGGGUCAGCCAACCACUGAUUAGCAAUGUGCAAAAUCAAGAAGUUAGACUAAGGAAGGAAUUCUUACAAGGUUCCAGUGAGCCAGAGGACUUCAGGGGAUGAUGCCAGGAGAGUUAAGAAGGCCAAGGAGAGAGACAGGCAGUUUGAUCUUGGCCCAGGUCUGUGAUCUUCACUCCAAU